GUGCGUUCCAAGCCUCGUUUUGGCGUUGCAAAAAAAAAAAGAGGCGGGAACGGUGCCUCCCAAAGUCGUCUGGGCGGAGAUAUUGACCACAGCUAGGGGCUUAUUAGUUGUCCCCACAGUGGGGUCUACUAAGGGUGACUAUAUGAAAGAUUGAGUCUUUCCCUUGCACCAGCAUCAACUAUAUGCCUUGGGUAUCUGCACAGUGCAUUUCAACUAAGGUUUUAUCAAAAUGCUACACUCACAAUAAACCAAAAAGUGGAACUAUGAGGCUUGUUCUUGAACGAGAGUCUGAAAGCUUACAGGAAAUGUCAUGGAGAUCCUUUCUGUUUGCUCAACGCAGAUGUAACCUUAUGCAAAACUAGACUGCACAUGCCUAGAAGUCAGAAUUCCUUUUAUGUAAGUAAAAAAUAACAUGAAAGUAGUGAUUAUCAUGUGCUGUUUAAUAAAAGGAACA